rnacentral:rRNA from 1 species
CACGUAGGGUGCGAGCGUUGUCCGGAAUUAUUGGGCGUAAAGAGCUCGUAGGCGGUGUGUCGCGUCGGCCGUGAAAACCUGCAGCUUAACUGUGGGCGUGCGGUCGAUACGGGCAUCACUGGAGUUCGGCAGGGGAGACUGGAAUUCCUGGUGUAGCGGUGAAAUGCGUAGAUAUCGGGAGGAACACCAGUGGCGAAGGCGGCUUUCUGGUCUGCUCUUGACGCUGAGGCGCGAAAGCUAGGGUAGCAAACGGG